rnacentral:rRNA from 1 species
UACGUAGGGGGCAAGCGUUGUCCGGAAUCAUUGGGCGUAAAGCGCGUGUAGGCGGCCCGAUAAGUCCGCUGUGAAAGUCCAGGGCUCAACCCUGGAAUGCCGGUGGAUACUGUCGGGCUCGAGUCCGGAAGAGGAGUGUGGAAUUCCGUGGAUGUAGCGGUGAAAUGCGGCAAGAUAUCAGGAGGAACACCAAUGGCGAAGGCAGCACUCUGGGACGUGACUGACGCUGAGGAGCGAAAGCGUGGGGAGCGAACAGG